GUCAGCUUGGACAGGCCGUUACCAACCUGCUGGUCAGCUUGGACAGGUCUUUACCGAUCUGUAGGGCCCUGGUCAGCUUGGACAGGUCAUUAUCGACCUGCAGGGGCCCUGGUCAGCUUGGACAGGUCAUUACUGACCUGCAGGGGCCCUGGUCAGCUUGGACAGGUCAUUACCGACCUGCAGGUCCCUGGUCAGCUUGGACAGGUCAUUACCGACCUGCAGGGGCCUGGUCAGCUUGGACAGGUCAUUACCGACGUGCAGGGCCCUGGUCAGCUUGGACUGGUCAUUACCAACCUGUAGGUCCCUGGUCAGCUUGGACUGGUCAUUACCAACCUGUAGGUCCCUAG
rnacentral:lncRNA from 1 species